AACGAACGCUGGCGGCGUGCCUAAUACAUGCAAGUCGAACGCAGUGGGGACGGGUGAGUAACACGUGGGUAACCUCCCAUCAGAGGGGAUAACACUUGGAAACAGGUGCUCAACCGCUACUGGUGGAUUGACCCGGGGUGAAUUAGCUAGGUGGUGAGGUAACGGCGCACCAAGGCCACGAUGCAUAGCCGGCCUGAGAGGGUGAUCGGCCACACUGGGACUGAGACACGGCCCAGACUCCUACGGGAGGCAGCAGUGGGGAAGCUUCGGCAAUGGACGAAAGUCUGAUGGAGCAACGCCGCGUGAGUGAAGAAGGUGUUCGGAUCGUAAAACUCUGUUGUUAGAGAAGCGGUAUUUAACCAGAAAGCAACGGCUAACUACGUGCCAGCCGCCGCGGUAAUUC
rnacentral:rRNA from 1 species